rnacentral:rRNA from 1 species
AGCUUGCUCUUCAGAGUUAGUGGCGGACGGGUGAGUAACGCGUAGGCAACCUGCCCCUGACAGAGGGAUAGCCAUUGGAAACGAUGAUUAAAACCUCAUAAUGCCGAAGGAACACAUGUUUCAUCGGCCAAAGAUUUAUCGGUCAGGGAUGGGCCUGCGUCUGAUUAACUAGUUGGUGAGGUAACGGCUCACCAAGGUGACGAUCAGUAGCCGACCUGAGAGGGUGAUCGGCCACAUUGGAACUGAGACACGGUCCAAACUUC